UAAUCUAGGGAAUUUAAUGAAAAAAAACUCUCAUUGGUCAGAUCCAUUUUUAAACCCUGAACUAUGUUUUUAGUAAAACAAAUCCCGAACUAAAACCUGUUAAUAAACUUAACCUCACAGUAAUUAAAUAUUAAUGGGAUAUUAAUUUCCAAAAAUCGACCAAAGAACAAUGACAGAAUCCGUGAUCCAACUGAAGAUCGUCCACCUCAAAAAGUUCCUUAUACACGUGAAAAAGUUCAAAUGGUAAAAUAGAGAACAAUGAAUUAUGUUUCACAAGAUCUUCCUUUUCAAAUUAUUUAAUUUAAUAUUUGCAUAUUUAGACUUGCAGCAACUGUCAACAAGUCGGACGCAACAAACGUUCAUGCAAGCGUAAAGCAGUGCCAAAACCACCCAAGAAACCUCAAGGACGACCAAGGAAAAAACAGAAAACAAUGGAUGAAGAGAACCCUAUCACUCAGCCAAUACAAUCUUUUCUUCAAAGUUAAUGCUUGACAAGUCUUUACUUUAGAAUAUCUUGUCCCUCUGAAACGAUUGUUUUUUUUUGUGACAAAUAUUGUUGUGUUGCAACUGCUUCGAUAGUUAUGUUGGUUGGAUUUAUUUAAGUAUGACUCUUUGGAUUAUUUUAAGUUGUUGUGUCUUUCUUUCAGCUUCUAAAAUCCAAACUAAUUAAGCAAUUCAAAAUCAUUUAGAACGUUUUUUUGUAAUAAAUUCAAAACAGUUUUAAAGAACAUCAUGUGGUUUUUGCGCUAAAUACAAAUGUCUCGUUGUUUUUUUUU
rnacentral:sRNA from 1 species